CAGUCACGUAGCUUUCUGUUACCCUGGAGGUCCACUCCUCUGUGGUGUAGUGAACAGUCACAGUCACGUAGCUUUCUGUUACCCUGGAGGUCCACUCCUCUGUGGUGUAGUGAACAGUCACAGUCACGUAGCUUUCUGUUACCCUGGAGGUCCACUCCUCUGUGGUGUAGUGAACAGUCACAGUCACGUAGCUUUCUGUUACCCUGGAGGUCCACUCCUCUGUGGUGUAGUGAACAGUCACAGUCACGUAGCUUUCUGUUACCCUGGAGGUCCACUCCUCUGUGGUGUAGUGAACAGUCACAGUCACGUAGCUUUCUGUUACCCUGGAGGUCCACUCCUCUGUGGUGUAGUGAACAGUCACAGUCACGUAGCUUUCUGUUACCCUGGAGGUCCACUCCUCUGUGGUGUAGUGAACAGUCACUCACGUAGCUUUCUGUUACCCUGGAGGUCCACUCCUCUGUGGUGUAGUGAACAGUCACUCACGUAGCUUUCUGUUACCCUGGAGGUCCACUCCUCUGUGGUGUAGUGAACAGUCACGUAGCUUUCUGUUACCCUGGAGGUCCACUCCUCUGUGGUGUAGUGAGCAGUCACAGUCACGUAGCUUUCUGUUACCCUGGAGGUCCACUCCUCUGUGGUGUAGUGAACAGUCACGUAGCUUUCUGUUACCCUGGAGGUCCACUCCUCUGUGGUGUAGUGAACAGUCACGUAGCUUUCUGUUACCCUGGAGGUCCACUCCUCUGUGGUGUAGUGAACAGUCACAGUCACGUAGCUUUCUGUUACCCUGGAGGUCCACUCCUCUGUGGUGUAGUGAACAGUCACAGUCAUGUAGCUUUCUGUUACCCUGGAGGUCCACUCCUCUGUGGUGUAGUGAACAGUCACAGUCAUGUAGCUUUCUGUUACCCUGGAGGUCCACUCCUCUGUGGUGUAGUGAUCAGUCACAGUCACGUAGCUUUCUGUUACCCUGGAGGUCCACUCCUCUGUGGUGUAGUGAACAGUCACGUAGCUUUCUGUUACCCUGGAGGUCUACUCCUCUGUGGUGUAGUGAGCAGUCAGUCACGUAGCUUUCCGUUACCCUGGAGGUCUACUACUCUGUGGUGUAGUGAUCAGUCACGUAGCUUUCUGUUACCCUGGAGGUCCACUCCUCUGUGGUGUAGUGAACAGUCACUCACGUAGCUUUCUGUUACCCUGGAGGUCCACCCGUCUGUGGUGUAGUGAACAGUCAGUCACUUAGCUUUCUGUUACCCUGGAGGUCCACUCCUCUGUGGUGUAGUGAACAGUCAGUCACGUAGCUUUCUGUUACCCUGGAGGUCCACUCCUCUGUGGUGUAGUGAACAGUCAGUCACGUAGCUUUCUGUUACCCUGGAGGUCCACUCCUCUGUGGUGUAGUGAACAGUCAGUCACGUAGCUUUCUGUUACCCUGGAGGUCCACCCGUCUGUGGUGAGGGCAACAGAGGAUGCCUUGGAUAAUUAAUCAACAAUUUUGAUAUGUUCCUGUUCAUGAAGACCUGCCACGAUCUCCAUACUGAAGUGGGUGAGCCAGGGGAUUUCAUAGCAUGACUCGAGCACUUUCACCAUAUUCUUAAACCCUUUGUUUUCCACAACAGAGUAUGGCCUCAUGCCUGCAGCGAUAAACAUCCCAAUACAUUUGGUGAUGGCUUUAGUCCGGUCUGAUUCUGCAGAAAAGGGCUUAAAUGUCGCGGUGAGAAGUUGUCUGGCUGAGUUGGCUCCCGUCACUGACACACCAGGUUGAUGACGCUCCAUGUAUUUCCAUCAUGAUCUUAUGGCUUUCUUGUGACACAAUGCCCACACACCGUAGUGGUGUUGUCCACCAUGCUGCUUCUGACAUCAUAUUUGACAGGGAAGCCAAAAUGCUCCCAUACAUGAGACUUCAAUGAAGCGGGAGGCUUUUCCAGUUCUUCAGCUCUAUUUUUCUUCUUUGCUUUUUGCAACGCGAGCAUCCAGGACUGAUUCGUUGGAUUCAACAGGCCCCGUUCACGUGAGCAGAACACACAACUGCUUUUUAAAAAAUCAUCACAUCAACCUUCAGGCUUCAGAGUAAAACACAGCAUCUGUCUUGUCUUUAUCUU